AGAGUUUGAUCCUGGCUCAGGAUGAACGCUGGCGGCGCGCCUAACACAUGCAAGUCGAACGGCACCUAUCUUCGGAUAGAAGCGAGUGGCGAACGGCUGAGUAACACGUGGAGAACCUGCCCCCUCCCCCGGGAUAGCCGCCCGAAAGGACGGGUAAUACCGGAUACCCCGGGGUGCCGCAUGGCACCCCGGCUAAAGCCCCGACGGGAGGGGAUGGCUCCGCGGCCCAUCAGGUAGACGGCGGGGUGACGGCCCACCGUGCCGACAACGGGUAGCCGGGUUGAGAGACCGACCGGCCAGAUUGGGACUGAGACACGGCCCAGACUCCUACGGGAGGCAGCAGUGGGGAAUCUUGCGCAAUGGGGGGAACCCUGACGCAGCGACGCCGUGUGCGGGACGGAGGCCUUCGGGUCGUAAACCGCUUUCAGCAGGGAAGAGUCAAGACUGUACCUGCAGAAGAAGCCCCGGCUAACUACGUGCCAGCAGCCGCGGUAAUACGUAGGGGGCGAGCGUUAUCCGGAUUCAUUGGGCGUAAAGCGCGCGUAGGCGGCCCGGCAGGCCGGGGGUCGAAGCGGGGGGCUCAACCCCCCGAAGCCCCCGGAACCUCCGCGGCUUGGGUCCGGUAGGGGAGGGUGGAACACCCGGUGUAGCGGUGGAAUGCGCAGAUAUCGGGUGGAACACCGGUGGCGAAGGCGGCCCUCUGGGCCGAGACCGACGCUGAGGCGCGAAAGCUGGGGGAGCGAACAGGAUUAGAUACCCUGGUAGUCCCAGCCGUAAACGAUAGACGCUAGGUGUGAGGGGGACGAUCCCCCCGUGCCGCAGCCAACGCAUUAAAGUGUCGCGCCUGGGGAGUACGGCGGCAAGGCUAAAACUCAAAGGAAUUGACGGGGGCCCGCACAAGCAGCGGAGCAUGUGGCUUAAUUCGAAGCAACGCGAAGAACCUUACCAGGGCUUGACAUAUGGGUGAAGCGGGGGAGGCCCCGUGGCCGAGAGGAGCCCAUACAGGUGGUGCAUGGCUGUCGUCAGCUCGUGUCGUGAGAUGUUGGGUUAAGUCCCGCAACGAGCGCAACCCCCGCCGCGUGUUGCCAUCGGGUGAUGCCGGGAACCCACGCGGGACCGCCGCCGUCAAGGCGGAGGAGGGCGGGGACGACGUCAAGUCAUCAUGCCCCUUAUGCCCUGGGCUGCACACGUGCUACAAUGGCCGGUACAGAGGGAUGCCACCCCGCGAGGGGGAGCGGAUCCCGGAAAGCCGGCCCCAGUUCGGAUUGGGGGCUGCAACCCGCCCCCAUGAAGUCGGAGUUGCUAGUAAUCGCGGAUCAGCAUGCCGCGGUGAAUGCGUUCCCGGGCCUUGCACACACCGCCCGUCA
rnacentral:rRNA from 1 species